rnacentral:rRNA from 1 species
UAAUACGGAGGAUGCAAGCGUUAUCCGGAUUUAUUGGGUUUAAAGGGUGCGUAGGCGGGGCCAUAAGUCAGCGGUGAAAGUUUGAGGCUCAACCUUAAAAUUGCCGUUGAAACUGUGACCCUUGAGUAUAUUUGAAGUAAGCGGAAUUCGUGGUGUAGCGGUGAAAUGCAUAGAUAUCACGAAGAACUCCAAUUGCGAAGGCAGCUUACUAAACUAUAACUGACGCUGAAGCACGAAAGCGUGGGUAUCAAACAGGAUUAGAUACCCUGGUAGUCCACGCCGUAAACGAUGAUUACUAGCUGUUUGUGAUAUUACAAUAAGCGGCUAAGCGAAAGCGAUAAGUAAUCCACCUGGGGAGUACGCCGGCAACGGUG